ensembl:lncRNA
UCUUUGUCCAUGUCUGUUAGCAACUGGUGACCUUGAAAGGAGAAUACAGAACGUAGAAUGGAGUAUUAGUAAUAUCUUUGCAGUAGCAGUAGUAGGAGUAGAGCUGGUGAUAGAGCCCAAGCAGCCAGGGUGAUCUACGAGGUUCCCCACAUCGACUCUGAGGAGGCAGAGAUGGACAAACACAGCACCAGUUCUUCCAGAGGCUCCUCUCAGUGGUGUCAGGUACUUGUUUACGAAUCUGUGGAAUACUUUCAGCGUGCAGAGACCAAAGGAGAUGAAUGAGGAUCUGCCUUCAUCAUGCUUUCAUCAUGUAUAUAAUGUACAUUCAUCACUGACUUAUGUAGAUGUUUUUAUAUGAUUGUAAAUAUUUUAUAUUCUUCAAUAAAC